UGGGGAAUAUUGGACAAUGGGCGCAAGCCUGAUCCAGCCAUGCCGCGUGUGUGAAGAAGGCCUUUUGGUUGUAAAGCACUUUAAGCGAGGAGGAGGCUACUCGGAUUAAUACUCUAGGAUAGUGGACGUUACUCGCAGAAUAAGCACCGGCUAACUCUGUGCCAGCAGCCGCGGUAAUACAGAGGGUGCGAGCGUUAAUCGGAUUUACUGGGCGUAAAGCGUGCGUAGGCGGCUUCUUAAGUCGGAUGUGAAAUCCCUGAGCUUAACUUAGGAAUUGCAUUCGAUACUGGGAAGCUAGAGUAUGGGAGAGGAUGGUAGAAUUCCAGGUGUAGCGGUGAAAUGCGUAGAGAUCUGGAGGAAUACCGAUGGCGAAGGCAGCCAUCUGGCCUAAUACUGACGCUGAGGUACGAAAGCAUGGGGAGCAAACAGG
rnacentral:rRNA from 1 species